AUGAUAUCAGUACGUAUGUGAUAACGAUCAUAAAGGCUCCUGAUCAACGGACUCAAAAAUCGUAUUAUAUUUUAAAUUGAAAUUAUUAAUUAUAUAUAAAUCUUAAAUAAAUUUAAAUUGUACUAUAAAAUAUUGUAUAAUAUUAUGUACAUUAUGUCGUCGUUCACUUACAUACCUACGUAUGCGAAAAACAGUUAUGUUACUUUUAAAUGCUACCUACUCGACAUGAUGGAUAGAUUUGAAAACUUACUCUCACCAAGGAUCAAGAUUUUCAAGGAAGAAUUGGUGUGUAUUAAUUUGUAUUUGUUCAGUACACCAUUCAAGAAGAUACAAGUGCGGAAAAACAGCAAAAUGUUUCUGCCCGUACCAGACUCAUCCUUAAAUCCAAGUUGAUAACCAAAAAUGAUUGCACAGGUUCUAACGCUGAUCGAAAUAUAAACCCUUAAUAAUCGGUAUAUCAGAUGACGCCAAUUGGUGACGACCGCACAUGGAGAGUAAUGCUACUGACGCCUAUCGCCAUUGUAUGCAGUGAACGUGUUAAGUUCUAAUAUAUAAUAUUUAAUAAAGAAAUAUUCAUUUGCUAAUUUAAUAUCAUAAUCAUCUGGAUAUUGUAUUAUUUGUUUUAUUAAGUAAUAUUUAAUAUAAGAAAAUGUAUUGGAAUCAUGUAUGAUCGUCUACUUCAGGAGUCUUUGUAUCAUCACAGUCUUAGCACAUUAAUUACUUUUUUUACUGUUAAAUUAUGUCUAAGGAUGCAUGGAAGAUGGAAGUGCACACAAUUCAAUAUCAAGAUAUAUUUGUCUUCUAAACUUUAAAAAUAAAUACUCUCAGUCAUGAGUGAUGGCUUUGCGAAACUAAUUACAGCCAUCAUAUGUGUUAUUUUAGACAAAUCCAUUUGGAAAUAAAAUGUAUUAAAGAUAAAUAGAUAAUCGCUGAUAAUAUUUAAUAUAUAAAAGUUAUCAAAAUGUUUUAAAUCAUUUAUGAUUGACAACUUCAGGAGUCUUUGUGUCAUAGUCUUAGCUCCAUAAAUAUUUUUUUUUGUCUAAGGAUGUGUGGAAGUGUAGACAAAUCAAUAUCAAGAUAUAUUUGUCUUCUGAACUUUAAAAAUAAAAUACCUUCAGUCAUAACUCAAUACCUGUUUCUGAUUGUCAACAGAUUAUAUAUUUAAUAAUUUAUAUAAUAUUUUAAAGCUACGUGUAAUUUUACAUUUAUUAAUGAACAAGUCUUAUGCAUUGAAGUAUAUCUUUAAUAUUGAUUUUAAUAGGUAAUAUAAUAUUCUUUCAAUGUUCUGGUUGUUAAUUAGCUUACAAACCAAAUUGAUAUAUGAUUAUUCUAAUUAUUAUUAACUUAAAAUAAUAAUUUUUUUUCUUAAAUAUUUACAUUUUUUUUUAUUUAUAUUAAUCAGAUUGAUACAAAAAAAGUAGUAGAUAGUUUUAGAAACUUAAUACAUUCUUCUAAGAAUGUGUAUAAAAUUUUUUAAUUAUUUGUUAUUUGUGAUAUUAAUUUCCAUGAAAUUUUUAGUUGUGUAACUAAUACUAAUACUAUUUUUUUCCUACUAUUUUUAUAUUUUGUAUUUUCUAUAUUGUUUUUUGUACAUCUGAAAAAUCUAUACUAUCGACACUAACAAUGAUAUACUUUCAUGUAUACUUAUAAAAAACAAAGUUUAUAUUAAACACUAUAAUUUUGUUUGGCAUCAAUUAUAAAUCUAUAAAUCUAGCAUUUAUUACAUAUUGAAAAUCUCUAUUAUUUAUAUUAAUCAUUACCUACUUGAUAUAAAUAUUGUUAGCAACUAAUUCCAUAAAAUAAAUACUUUAAUAAAUAUUUAAAAUUCUGUUGUGACAUUUAAAUACAAAUAUUUGUAAUUUUUGAUUUUUUUUCAGUAUAAUUGUUGAUAAUAAUUUUUUUACCUGUCAAAAUACUCGAAAUGUCAAUACAAGAUUCCUCAUAAAUGAUUCAUAUUAAAACCUAAAAUAUUAACAAUCAUUCUGUUUCUAUGGAUAUUUUAAAUUAUUUGGACAAAAUUAAAUAUUUAAACAAAGAAUUUGUUUUAUUUCAAUACUUUUUUAUACCACAAA